UACAGAGGGGGCAAGCGUUGUUCGGAAUUACUGGGCGUAAAGGGCGCGUAGGCGGCCUCUUAAGUCGAACGUGAAAUCCCCGGGCUCAACCCGGGAACUGCGUCCGAUACUGGGAGGCUUGAAUCCGGGAGAGGGAUGUGGAAUUCCAGGUGUAGCGGUGAAAUGCGUAGAGAUCGGGAGGAACACCAGUGGCGAAGGCGGCCUUCUGGACCAAUACUGACGCUCAUGCACGAAAGCGUGGGGAGCAAACAGG
rnacentral:rRNA from 1 species